rnacentral:rRNA from 1 species
CGCGGUAAUACGUAGGUCCCGAGCGUUNUCCGGAUUUAUUGGGCGUAAAGCGAGCGCAGGCGGUUAGAUAANUCUGAAGUUAAAGGCUGUGGCUUAACCAUAGUACGCUUUGGAAACUGUUUAACUUGAGUGCAGAAGGGGAGAGUGGAAUUCCAUGUGUAGCGGUGAAAUGCGUAGAUAUAUGGAGGAACACCGGUGGCGAAAGCGGCUCUCUGGUCUGUAACUGACGCUGAGGCUCGAAAGCGUGGGGAGCGAACAGGAUUAGAUACCCUGGUAGUCCACGCCGUAAACGAUGAGUGCUAGGUGUUAGGCCCUUUCCGGGGCUUAGUGCCGCAGCUAACGCAUUAAGCACUCCGCCUGGGGAGUACGACCGCAAGGUUGAAACUCAAAGGAAUUGACGGGGGCCCGCACAAGCGGUGGAGCAUGUGGUUUAAUUCGAAGCAACGCGAAGAACCUUACCAGGUCUUGACAUCCCGAUGCCCGCUCUAGAGAUAGAGUUUUACUUCGGUACAUCGGUGACAGGUGGUGCAUGGUUGUCGUCAGCUCGUGUCGUGAGAUGUUGNNNNANNNNNNNNCAACGAGCGCAACCCUUAUUGUUAGUUGCCAUCAUUCAGUUGGGCACUCUAGCGAGACUGCCGGUAAUAAACCGGAGGAAGGUGGGGAUGACGUCAAAUCAUCAUGCCCCUUAUGACCUGGGCUACACACGUGCUACAAUGGCUGGUACAACGAGUCGCAAGUCGGUGACGGCAAGCUAAUCUCUUAAAGCCAGUCUCAGUUCGGAUUGUAGGCUGCAACUCGCCUACAUGAAGUCGGAAUCGCUAGUAAUCGCGGAUCAGCACGCCGCGGUGAAUACGUUCCCGGGCCU